AAAACAACUGCCAACAUUCCUGAACCAUUGCCGACAGGGAGACCAUCAACUCACGUACCUGCAAGUGAGACACUGUUUAAUAUCUGCUUGAUGAGCUCAACGUUGCCGCCUUAAAAUAGGUUUGAAAUUGAUUAGCAAA